GUUUUGUCUAAUUUAUUUAAAUAUUGUACUUCGCAAGCCAUGACCACCACAACAAACUUUAAAAAGUGUUUAGUUUGGACACGAAGCUUCAGUUAAGUAGCAGUUUUACAAGCCCAUGAAGAGGACAGCCUGCCAGAACCAUUACUGUCACCUUGAGCGUGUUGUUGUGUACCUGAAGUGUGUGUACCUGUGGCACUGGACCCACUGUGGCUCUGAUCGGGACAAAGUUACCAAGCAAGAGAACAGAAAUCCAGGAUGAAGAGAAGGUCAGGAGAACGAGAACACGGCAGGAUGGUCAGGUGACGUGGCGCUUGCAGACUGAUGGGGCUCGUAGUCGUUACGUGAAUUGACGUUCUAAGCUGGUCUGUACGCUAAUCAGACACUAAGGCAUAAAGCAUGUAUGGUGUGGGAUGAAUGUAAACAAACAAGCUGCUUUAAAAUGAUUUAUUUUAAUUCAUUCUUUGAUUGUGUUCAGAAUCAUGGUGGGUCUGAAUCACUGGACAAAACGUAGGGAACACCCCGGACCCCGGACAGGUCAGGGUCAGUCCCUGUGAUGAACUGUUGUCCGGUGCAUGAUUGUUCCAGUGUUUAUUGGAAAAACUGGACCCACAGUGACCCUGAACUUAAAUAUUGUUUCAUGUGGAAUAUCUAUAGGAUAAAUAAA